GCAUUGGUGGUUCGGUGGUAGAAUUCUUGCCUCCUACACAGGAGACCCAGGUUCGAUUCCUGGCCAAUCCA